CUAACCUGGCAAGAGGCAGGCAUGGGAGGCAUGAUUGUUGCUGAAGCGGAACUCAUAAAUGUCUCACGUCAUGUGGUUCUGUGCUAUUCUUAAUCUUCUUCUCUGAAGUGUGUAGUUUCAGUUCCACAUCAAAUGUGUUGCGCUUGCAGUGCGUACCAAUGUACAGUUUACCGAUGUGUAUAUAUGCGGAGUCGAUGGAAAACAUUGAAGCCAGUAGUUGUAUACCUAUUUCAAAAAUCAGCAAGUGGUUAGUAACAUUCUACAUCAAGGUUAUCAUAUGACAGAACGUCUGGGGUGAAAGCUAAGCUACUUCCAAUGGUCCCAAAUGAGAAGGCAAGAAGGUAUCAGCUGUAUGAGAAGACCCCCGCACAUGCCCAUUCCAUUCUCUAUGAAGUCAAAAGUUUCCCACUGAAUAUAUUUGGUACUAAAAUGGUCGUUAUGUCAGCACGACGAUCGUGUGCCUAUUGUUGGCUCUUAAUUCUUUAGGAUUAUUUGAUUUGUUUGAUUCAUUCUGCUCAUAUUUAUGCAGCAACAAAAUACAGUCAAGAUCAGGGUGUGUGAGGGUUAAACAUGCUAAUUUAUGUGGCAUCAAGCUAUGUAUGUUAAUAGCAUGAUCUACUUUUCUUUUGCUUUGCAGAAUUAUUCUCGACACUGGAGAUAUAUGCUAAUCCUCUA